GAGGUGAGGUUGAAAGGAGUUGGCUGCCAAAGAAAAUUCAAUGUGUCAAGAAAGGGAGCAGAACAAGCUGAUAGCAGCACUUGACCGUACUCACAUCCUUCCUCGUCACACGUAACUGGAACACGCAGAACGCAAUACCACGUGCUCAGGAAUGCGGCGUAACGAGACAUCCAAUUUCAACAGACAACAGCAGCAGUAUUCAGCAACCGUGCUGUUGGCAUUAUCGACUACAGAAAUUUGAAAAUUGGUUUUGCAGUUAUCAUCAAUGGCUCAAGGCCCAUGACAGAUUUAAUUACAGAUAUUUUGUGGGCAGUAAAAGUGUACAUGCAGAUAUAAUAGGUAAAUGUUUAACUGAAUUAGAUUACUUUAGGUUAGAUUGUAAAUAAGAAUAGUUUUAUGAUUUGUACAAAUGUGUGUGCGUUCUUACUGUCUCAUACUAUUUACUUACGAACAUUAAUAACAGUUCACAUAUUGAGUACAGUUAAUGUAGACAUUAGAACGACCUAUUUUAGCUUCAUCUUGCUGUAAGUUGACGUUGCACAAACUAUGAUGUUCACGUAUAGAUCAACUAUGUUGGUUCCAGUUAUUAAAAGGGCUAGUGCUGUUGUAUAUGCAUAGUAGGUAAUAUGAUAUUGUUAUUAGUUGUUGCAUAUUAUAAUUGUACCACAUGAAUAUUAAGUCAUGUAUAUGAAAACAUUUGCCCAAUUCUGUAACUCGGACUUUCAUCGAUGUUAUCCUCUUUUGAUAAUUAAGUUGUUUUCAAGAAAACGGAGACACUGUGACAUUGUGACACCGUCGCCCCACAAAUGUACUGUUCCGAAAUAAUCAAUAAGACAUCAGCCAGAGUCCGAGAGUGAGGCA